rnacentral:rRNA from 1 species
UACAGAGGGUGCAAGCGUUAAUCGGAAUUACUGGGCGUAAAGCGUGCGUAGACGGUUAUGUAAGUCGGGUGUGAAAGCCCCGGGCUCAACCUGGGAAUUGCAUUCGAGACUGCAUAGCUAGGGUGCGGAAGAGGGAAGCGGAAUUUCCGGUGUAGCGGUGAGAUGCGUAGAUAUCGGAAGGAACACCAGUGGCGAAAGCGGCUUCCUGGUCCAGCACCGACGUUCAGGCACGAAAGCGUGGGGAGCAAACAGG